rnacentral:rRNA from 1 species
AAUUGGUCAAUGGGCGCGAGCCUGAACCAGCCAAGUAGCGUGAAGGAUGACGGCCCUAUGGGUUGUAAACUUCUUUUAUAUGGGAAUAAAGUUUUCCACGUGUGGAAUUUUGUAUGUACCAGCUGAAUGAGGAUCGCCGCACUCCGCGCCAGCCGCCGCGGUAAUACGGAGGAUCCGAGCGUUAUCCGGAUUUAUUGGGUUUAAAGGGAGCGUAGGUGGACAGUUAAGUCAGUUGUGAAAGUUUGCGGCUCAACCGUAAAAUUGCAGUUGAUACUGGCUGUCUUGAGUACAGUAGAGGUGGGCGGAAUUCGUGGUGUAGCGGUGAAAUGCUUAGAUAUCACGAAGAACUCCGAUUGCGAAGGCAGCUCACUGGACUGUUGACUGACACUGAGGCUCGAAAGUGUGGGUAUCAAACAG